CAGUGCUUGAUGAAGCCACCAGUGCCCUGACAGAGGAAGCGGAGAGUGAGCUCUACCGAAUUGGCCAGCAACUGGGGAUGACAUUUAUCAGCGUGGGACAUCGGCCCAGCCUUGAGAAGUUUCACUCCUGGGUUCUGAGACUCCAUGGAGGAGGAAGCUGGGAACUGACUAGAAUCAAAAUGGGAUGAAGCCAAGCAGGUUCAUCGGAGCAGAGGGGCUCUGGGGCCUGCAGUGCCCACAGACAAGGAAGCCUGAUGAGCCAGGAAGGAGCCACAGGUUCACCUCAGGUCCUACAUAGGACAUCCUAGCACCCCUGGGCCCUGCCCAUGGGUGGCCCAUUGGGGAACACUGAGGUCCCCCCAGCGCUGCUCCCACGAGUUCUUACAGAUUACUUCAGAUGAUGUUUGCUGCCGAAAAACUGAAUGAACUGUAAGACAUGAAGUCUGUUCACCUCAAGAAAGCUGGUUACAUUUCACAGUGAUAGACUUUUUAAAAAAACUUUAAUUAACCAUUUACAUUUUAUAAAGUUUUUUAAAAAAAGAAUAAAUAUUAAAAAUAUAGUUUUUUUCUUCUGUGG
rnacentral:lncRNA from 1 species